GCUCUUUUGCGAUGUGGUCAACGCAUGUGACUCUUAUCCGGGAAUCUGGGGUUCAAUUCCCCGCGGGAGCC